ACUGAGCGUAUGGGAUCGUCGGCCUGAAUUCUCUCAAGCCUACAUAUGCGGGCUUAGGUAGGAAGGAAACAAGGGGUUUCUUCAAAUGGGCCGGGUUUGUCCCGCUGUGCUGUGAGACCGGCCCAUAUACUGAUCUACUUAUAUGAAAAUUGAGGUGGUAUUUGGUUGGCUCAAAUGUAACAUAAUCUGAUUACUGAACGUAACGAAUUUCAUUACAUAUGUUUGGUUGCGGCGGUUUGUAAUCAAUUUACACUGUAAUCUAAUCCCUUACCUAAAUAAUAUAUAUACAAGCUUGUUACCCCUCCUCCCCACUGUAAUCAGAUACAACACCUACACCGUAAUCUGAUUACGUUACCAGAGUGCAACCAAACAAAGAGGGUAAUCACC
rnacentral:lncRNA from 1 species